rnacentral:rRNA from 1 species
AGUGAACGCUGGCGGUAGGCCUAACACAUGCAAGUCGAACGGCAGCACAGUAAGAGCUUGCUCUUACGGGUGGCGAGUGGCGGACGGGUGAGGAAUACAUCGGAAUCUACUUUUUCGUGGGGGAUAACGUAGGGAAACUUACGCUAAUACCGCAUCCGACCUACGGGUGAAAGCAGGGGAUCUUCGGACCUUGCGCGAUUGAAUGGGCCGAUGUCGGAUUAGCUAGUUGGCGGGGUAAAGGCCCACCAAGGCGACGAUCCGUAGCUGGUCUGAGAGGAUGAUCAGCCACACUGGAACUGAGACACGGUCCAGACUCCUACGGGAGGCAGCAGUGGGGAAUAUUGGACAAUGGGCGCAAGCCUGAUCCAGCCAUACCGCGUGGGUGAAGAAGGCCUUCGGGUUGUAAAGCCCUUUUGUUGGGAAAGAAAAGCAGCAGGUUAAUACCCCGCUGUUCUGACGGUACCCAAAGAAUAAGCACCGGCUAACUUCGUG